GAUGCCUCUAGAAGCAUUGCAGGUGUGGCUGUUGUGUCACACGUGUGUCAAUAGGUAGCAGAGAGGAGAGAGAGGCUAUGUCUAUGCUCAGUGUUCUGACCUCUGACCAUUGGAGUGAUUAGUAGCCUAACACU